rnacentral:sRNA from 1 species
GAAAAAAAAUUAACAACACUCACUUUUUAAGCUCUUUUUGCUAGCUUUGAAGUUUACAACCAUAUGACAAUAUUCUAGAGUACUUAGGCGGCUCUAGCCAACUUCUAGAAUACUUAUACUAAUCUCCUAAACCCUAAUCUCUAGGAUCUUCAAGAAUCAGGAUCUUCCUUAAUCUACAAGCUUAUCCCUUUUCCAUAUUUGACGAGAAGGAAAUUCACCAUAUCUUCUCGACCGACAUUCGUCUUUGAUCACCAUGCCAAGUCAGCAACUUUACUUGGCUUCUCACAUCAACCGCUACAUCCCUGCCACGUUAGCUCACACGUCCAUAUCAGUAGUCUCUGCCGUUUAGUGUGAUCUGAUGCAACUUCUUGAUUUCCGACAGCUCCUUGAUAUCCAUCAGCUCACUAUUGUCAGAAUCUACAUCUUCAGAAAUAUGUUUAGAUUUUUAAUUAACUUAAUCAGCACUAAUACAAAAAAGCUAUUCUCGAAAAAAAAAGAAGAGUUGAUUAAUCUUUUAAAAACUAAAAAGAGGGAAUAAAUUAUAAAGCAGUUUCCCUUGUUGUGUGCUUGUAAAAUU